rnacentral:rRNA from 1 species
UACGUAGGGUGCAAGCGUUGUCCGGAAUUAUUGGGCGUAAAGAGCUCGUAGGCGGUUCGUCGCGUCGGCUGUGAAAACCCGGAGCUCAACUCCGGGCCUGCAGUCGAUACGGGCGGACUAGAGUUCGGCAGGGGAGACUGGAAUACCUGGUGUAGCGGUGAAAUGCGCAGAUAUCAGGAGGAACACCGGUGGCGAAGGCGGGUCUCUGGGCCGAUACUGACGCUGAGGAGCGAAAGCGUGGGGAGCGAACAGG